rnacentral:lncRNA from 10 species
CCCGGCUGUGCGCUCCUCUGAGCUCCCCUCUCUCCCCAGCCAGGAUUUUCUCCCCCUCGCCUCCCUUCCCCUCGCCUCCCCUCCCCUCCCUUCCCCUCCCCUCCCCGCGCCCGCGCGCGCUCUCUCUCUCUCCCAGAGUUCAUUCACAUUAUUGGAGUGAAGGAAGCCGAGGGAAGUGUUCCCCAGGAGGACCGAAGGGAAAGCGCGUCUCCAGCCACCUCUCUUACCCGCCCAGGACAUCCAGCCUCCCCUCCGACGGCCCUGCGGAUUCUUUAAUUUGUGGAGGAGGGCGUGGGUGGGUGUGUCCCUCCUUUCCCCUCUGUGCCUGUUCACCUGGUGAUGAAGGGGGACCCCAACGGGAGCUCCGCAGUUUGCCUUUCUGUUUGCGGACACCCACUGGCAGCUGCACUUGGUCCUGCGGUGAUGAGGGUGUAGACUGUGGAGUCGCAUAAGGACUUGACCGCCGGCACAGGGAGCUGGAGCAAACCCAAGACUGGCUGAGACCAUUCAUCAUGCCUGGUUUCUAUAGCCAAGGCUUGGGGAUGAGGCUCAGAAGAUUCCGGGGCUCGGCUCGGUGUGGAGGCUUAUCUGCAACCCAUCCAGCCUGCUCAGCCUUUAAGAAGAAUGCCUGGAAAUCCGGGUCCUACCAGCCUCCCCUCCAUCAGAUUAUGCACGCUGCAAGGAUGACUUUCUUUUUUUUUUUUUUUUUUUUGCUUCAGUAUUUCAGUAGACUCCUUUGAGGGAGAUCAGAAAAUGCUACAUGGCUUUAUGUAUUCAAGUUUAUUCCGUUUCAUUUGCUUAUCACGGAUAUCCUAUUCAAGGUGAUGGAAGCUGGAUACACAGCAUUUUUUUUUCCAGCUCAGCUGCGAUAAAACAGUGGCACACUCACCAUCUCCAUGCCAGGCCAGGACCUAGAAAUGCAGAGAGAAGGGAGAUAGCAUUUCGUGAGUGUCCUCUGGGUGCCAGUCAUUGAGUCUCUCCUUUCAGUUAUCCAUCACAACAACCACAUAAAGAGGACACUUUUAUCCCCAUUGUGUAAGUGGUGAACUCGCAGCUAAACAGAGAGCAAGUGGCUGAACCAGGAUUUGAACCCAGCUCUGCCUGGAGCACAGCUGGGCUCCAUCUGCUACUACACUGCACCCCACUCCCUAAAGGGCACAGAGGCCUCUUUGCCCGUCUCUUCCUCCCCUGCUCCUCCUCACAUAUUUAUCCAGAUGAAAUCAAGUUCAAAUGAUGAUCAAAGUCACAUGAGGGGCCAGGUGUGGUGACUCACGCCUGUAAUCCCAGCACUUUGGAAAGCCGAGGUAGGUGGCUUACUUGAGGUCAGGAGUUCAAGACCAGCUUGGCCAACAUGGUGAAACCCCCUAUCUACUACAAAUACAAAAAAGUUAACCAGGUAUGGUUAGGUGAGGGGGAGGGAGGCGCCUGUAAUCCCAGCUACUCAGGAGGCUGAGGCAGGAGAAUCACUUGAACCCAGGAGGUGGAGGUUGCAGUGAGCCGAGAUCACACCACUGCACUCCAGCCUGGGCAACAGAGCGGGACUCCAUCUAAAAAUAAUAAUAAUAAUAAUAAAAUUCACAUGAGGGUGGAGAGGUUAGGAAACAGCUGUGCUUUUUAAGCUGUUGGCAGUGGGUCUGGAGUUUGGGGUUUGGAGAAGGCUCCCCAUUUCCUGGGCAGAUAGGAGUGAGCUGGGCUGAUGGCAGGCAGGUUCUAGAAGCUACCAGCCUUGGGAGCCCACCCUUCUCUUCCUCCCUCCUGGCUAUUACCCCCAGCACCUGCCCUAAUGCUGGCCAGAGUGGAGGGCGGAGGGCCAGCCCCUGACCCAGGUACCCAGUGGCCCCUCUGAGAUGCCUCUGGCCUCUGGCUGCUACCCUCUCCUGGGCAUUUUCCAUUUACUGUGAUGGCAGAAAAACCCAGUACCCUUAAACAGUAAACAACACAGUGAACUGUGAGUGAAGUCCGUGUGGGCUUAGCCAGACCUGUGUGUUUGCAAACCGGAUCCCAGUAUGGACUGUGCCCUGCAGGCGGCCUCUCUUGCUAGAAUCUGUUCUGGAACUAGCCCGGUUGAUGAGCAUGUUGAUAUUAACGGCCUGGCUUGGCCAAAGCUUCCGGCCCAGCACGCUUUAGCAUCAGCUGGUUAUUCUGAGAACAUUCUUUUCAAAACACUCUACAGGACAAACAGGCCGAGAGGUUCCUUUGUCCACAGCUGGCCUCUGAAACUGAGCAGACUCUCAAAGGGUUGAGAAGAACCCCGAGGAGGCUAUCGUCUGCACUCAGAGGCUGAAACGUUUGAAAACAGGUGCGGGAGGGGGCGGGGAGGAUGGUCAGUGACAGCACAUUCUUCAGCAAACAUGUGUCAUUUGUGCUUUUACCAGAGCGGAGCUUUUAAUUCCUAAAAUAUAACAGCCUGGUGCAGGGGCUGGAAGAAGAGGGCGCGUUUUAUGUGCAACUCUGCUAAGGGCUUGGUUGCUGAAUGAAAGGUUUGGUUCCAUGGAGGUUCAGGUACCUUCGCCUUCAGAACCACACCUUCCUUUUCAUCUCCAGCCUCCCUGGGCUCUCACCUGGCUGCUAGGGGGUCGGGGGUGGGUUGGUCUCAGCCCUCCUGGAGCUCUGCUUGCUACUGGGUGGGAAGGCUUGCUCUAUACUGCAGACAUCUUUCUGGAUUGAGGCUAUCAAUUGACUCCCUGCCCUCUGCCUCCUAUGUCCGUGAUUCCUGCUUGUCACAGAAGAGCUGCUGGGUCUUCGUUGCUUUUAUCUCCAAAGCCUUUUGAUGAGGUAGAAAGGAAAGGUCAUCAGAUUCAGGCUGACCUGCGUUUCCACUUCUGCGUUGUCAUUUGCAGCUGUGUGGCCUAGGACUAGUGGCUGAACCUCUCUGGGCCCCAGUAAGACGGGAAACCAAACACUGGCCUCAUUGCGUUGGUUAUCAUGCAGAGUCAGUAAGCCCAGGGAAAACAUUCACACAAAAAUGCUAAUAGCUGAUGGUUACUGAGCUCUUUGUGUGUAUCAUGCUCUAUUCGACGUGCUUGGCCAUACAUUAACUUAUUUGAUUUUUUCCAAAAUACUUUGAGAUAGAUACUGUUAUCGACCUCAUUUUACCAAAAGGUAACGAAGGCAUGGAGAAGGUAAAUUGCUUGCCAAGCGUUGCCUGAUUUUAAACCUCUGCGAUCUGUAUACAGAACCUGUGCUUAUAAUUUUGAUUUAAAUACUUACUAAAUAAACAAUAACUUUUAUUAUGUUGCUCGUUAAUACUCCCUGACAACUAAGUUGAAGCUACUGCUUAUCCUCAACUGCCAACAACCACUGAUGUCACUGGACUCCAGCACCCUUCGUAAUACAGACCCAUUAAUUUAUCUAAUCCAGAAAUACUGUUGUUGUUUUUUUUCCCCUUUUAGCAGAGCCCUCCCUAUUGGUUCAUAUUGUCUCCUUGGAACCUAUGUGGGUCUUCUUGGGGAUGAAGACAUUAUUGAAAUUUUUGCUGGUUGGGCACGGUGGCUCACGCCUGUAAUCCCAACACUUUGGGAGGCCGAGGCGGGUGGAUCACCUGAGGUCAGGAGUUCGAGACCAGCCUCGAAUUAUUAUAAAAU